AUGAGCUUUGUUUCAGUGGACCAGAGGCUAAAUGCCACAGCUUGUAGCUUCCAGCAAAGGGUGGGGCUGGGGGUGUCUCUCACAAUCUUCCAAAUAAAUAAUAGCCAUUCGGGAACACCGACCUUUGUUUCAGCAGCUCAGGAGAAUUCAUUCUCCGUAGAGAAAACUCAUUUGCUCAUGGCAGUGAUUCAAGCCGCCAACUUCACAGAGAGUAUUGCUGGAGCCAAAUUCUUUCUCAGUUAUGGAGGUCAGAGGGCUGUGUGGUCAAAAUCAGGUCUGGAUUCAACCCUUAGCUGGCACACGCAAGGACACCUGAGUGUUGAGUCCAUCCAGGGUGAUUUUGGACGGCCUGAAACUUUUUGCCCUUAGUUUGAGAUUUUGACCCCACUUCAUGGUCAAAGCCCUAAAAUCAGUCUUCCGUCCCUCUCCCAAUCCCAGACUCGCUGACACCAUGGGUUUUGUUAUUGUUCAUUCUAACAAAAUGUGGGGUACUUCCUUCUGCCUCAUUUUUUGAACAAUCAAUAAACAAGUUUUUAUUGAAAAUCCAGAGAGCAUGGUUUACUAUCUACAUUUACUUAGUAGCUGUGGAUUUAGACAAUCGUAUGGAUUCUUAUUCUUUCAUUACAGCUCUUCAGUACUUUAUGGUGUAGGCAAUACAGUAUAAAGGUUAAGACGGUGACUGUUAAGUCAGUCGCCUGUCUUCAAACCCAGCACUGACAUUUAGCAGCUAUGUGAUUUUGGGCAAAUUAAUUCAUAUCUCUGUGCCUCAGAUCCCUCAUAUGUAAAACGAGGAGAGUAACAGCGUCUACUUUGGUGUUAAAUAGUAAAGAAGUUAACAAAUGGAAAGUAGUUAGAAUGGUGCCUGGCCCCAUAGUAAGCCCUCAUCAUGAGCAUGUAUUAGAGGAUGUCACUACUGAGAGAUCAUUAUUUCAACAAGAGGUGAGGCUGUAAAUUAUCUACAACUAAUUGUCAUGUCAACUACCAUUCAUCUAUUACCCACUUUGUGGGUAAUGGUGGGUGAUGGAGCUACAAGGGGUGACUCCUAUGUAAACUCUACUCUCUAGUUGCUUGGGGAUUUUGUACAUACAUCACAAUCAUGUGAUGAGUUGCUGCAUGCAGAGUCACCCCAUUGCAGCAGCCUGGCUGUGACUGAGUCAGGGCCUCGUAUAUCACCAGAUAACAUGAAGCAUCACAGUGCUCUGACAUCCAACUUAUUAUUUCCUUUAAACCUUUCUAAAUCACCUCACCGUCGUCUGUAGUCUGUGCUUCCGGAAAAAGCUCAGGACACAAGAAAGAAAACAAUUCGGUCUCCUUUAAAGAGAACCCUGAGGAAGGUGUUACUAUAUACCAGUGAUUAUAAGGUGCAUAUUUUUUUCACGUUCUUCCUCCUCUGAAAUUGGAUACAGCAAGAUAGCAUUGCCAUUGCCUACGUGUGCACAAACAGGCUUAUAGCUGCCCAUCUGUCCCUGCAGUUGAGGGAUGUGCAUUGUUCAUAGCACAGGAUUUGAGAUUAAUCGAUGUCAAAAUGUCUUUCAGAUUGAGAUUGAAAUGAAAAGUUAUCGAACAUACAGAAAGGCACAGGAACAGAGCAGUGCAAUAUAUGAGUUAAGAAAUAAUGCCUAGUCAGCCUAAAAGAGGCUUUCAUUGAACAUAAAACAAAAUUCUAAGUGCUAAGAACACUGCGUCAUAGUUUAGUUGACAGCAUUUUCUUGUUUCUUCAUGGUACAGGAUUCAUUUUACAAUUAAAAGCCUUUUAGAUUUGAUGAAAUAUGAUACAUUUUAGAGUGCUAGCAACAAUCUGGAGAACCUAAAAUAGCUACCUUGAAAUUUUCCCCAACAUUCCAAACUUUCAGCUUGUUCCAUCAGCACUAAAAAUAUUUCAUUUUAAAACUUGGCCGGGAGCACCAGCACUAAUAAUAUUUAAUUCAUUUUAAAAUUUGUCUGGGUGCAGUGGCUCACACCUGUAAUACCAGCACUUUGGGAGGCUGAGCUGAGUGGAUCACCUGAGAUCAGGAGUUCAAGAUCACCUGGCCAACAUGGUGAAACCCUAUCUCUAUUGAAAAUAGAAAAAUUAACUGGUCAUGAUGGUGUGUGCCUAUAAUCCCAGCUACUCAGGAAGCUGAGACAGGAGAAUCAUUUGAACCCAGGAGGUGGAGGUUGCAGUGAGCCAAUAUCAGGCCAUUGCACUCCAGCCUGGGUAACAAGAGCAAAACUCCAUGUUAAAAAAAUCUUUUUUAAUAAAAUAAAACUUAUCUCAUUGUUUAAACCUAAACACAUUUCUUUUAGAAAAAAAGUAUAUUAUUCUUGUUAAUGUAAAAUGGAGGUUUUGAUGAGCUAGUUGAUUUAAAUAUAAAUUAAAAUAAAUCUGUUGCCAUUAAGAUGAACAAAAAUGUUUGACCAUUUACCACAUAAAAUUGUCUUACAGUAGAAUACAGACAUGCACAGAAUCCCUUGGGGAAAUGCCACAUUUUGAUGACAUUCCACCCCCUCAGAUUUAUCUUUCCCUUCCAGCCACUGAGGCAGAUCCCAAUCUGACAUUUCCAGACUCGCUUUGCAUUUGCUUCAAGAAAUUUCCACUGAAAAACCCUGCACAAACUGAAUUCACAGACAGCUGCUGCCAACUUAGCAUUCUAAUCCUUCAUACCCACAAUGCCCAACUGUUUUUUGUUACUAAGGGGUAGAAAGUUGGGUGUCCUACUUUGGCUGUGAUGGCUGACUCUGCCAUGAAUUCUUACCAACAUUUUGACACAAUAAUUUUGAAACUUUGGGAGAAGGGUCUGAUUUUAGCCUAGAGAAAUCAUUUUUAAGGUUGGUACUUGUCCUUCGAUUCAAUUUGUAAACCCUGUCCUAUGUCUUCUUUGACUCAACAGAGCAUCACUUUCACAUAUGGGCUGGAUUCUUGCAUCUCGAAGAUGAGGAAAUCCUGUUCAUCAGCAAGUGACAGUUUCCCCACUUGCACUUCCCACUCAUCGUAUGGCUGUUGUCAGGGUCCUAUCACAAAGAGGAGCUCAUUAACUUUAAUUAUUUUUGAAAUUCGUUGGUUCAAAGUGAAGCUAGCAGGUGCCAGAGGUUCAUCAUUACAGAUAUUAAUUAACAAAUGAGUGGAAGCUCUUAUUAGCUGAUACUUUUUUUUUUUUUUUGAGACAGGUUCUCAUUCUGUCACCCAGGCUAGAGUACAGUGGUGUAAUCUCAGCUCACUACAGCCUCGACCUCCCAGGCUCAAGCAAUCCACCUCGGUCUCUCGAGUAUCUGGAAGUACAGCUGUGUGCCACCAUACUCAGCUAAUUUAAAAAAAAUUUUUUUUGUAGAGACGAAGUCUCACUUUUGCCCAAGCUGGUCUCGAACUCCCAAAGUGCUGGGAUUACAGGUGUGAGCCACUGCUCCUGGCUAAGCUGAUACUUUUUGCUAUCUUUUUGUUCUACCAUUAAACCAGUUUAGAGUGGGUCUCAGACCCUUCAAACUGGAAGCAGAGAAAAGGUAAGAGCUAAGUGUCCGAGACACAAGAAAUCCAAGUUUCAGGCCCCAGACAAGAGCAGAGCAUUUCCCUAACUCCUAUUCCAUCAUUUUCCCAACUCACUCACUAUUGCAUCCGGAUCUAGAAAACCCACAGAUUAGUUGGUUUUCAGAUCACCACCAGCUGAUGUUUAUGUUUAUUUAAUUCCAGAUAGAAGGUGACACUUAAAAGCUUUGCUGGAAUCCCUCUGCAUAGUAACCUGUUAAAAUUAUAUUCAAUGGCUCGUGGAAGUCCUGGCUCUGUGAAGAUAUGGCAUUUUGCUAGUAUUCUUUAAACAUCAAACCAGUUAUGAUCUGGUGUCGAUUUCAUUACUAAAUCCAUGCUUGUUCCAAUUUCCCCUUUUGAAACUAACUGCUUGAUGUGGAAAAGUAUUAUCUUCCAACGCCGCUAGAGGCAGUAUUAAUUAGUAUAAUCUUCCUUUAUAAAUUUCUUCUGCUUUUUUUUUGGUACAAUCUUUGUUUUUUUGGGGAGGUACGGAGUUUCGCUGUUGUUACCCAGGCUGGAGUGCAAUAGCGCGAUCUCAGCUCACCGCAACCUCCGCC
ensembl:lncRNA